rnacentral:rRNA from 1 species
UACGGAGGGGGCUAGCGUUGUUCGGAAUUACUGGGCGUAAAGCGCACGUAGGCGGCUUUGUAAGUGAGAGGUGAAAGCCCGGGGCUCAACUUCGGAAUUGCCUUUAAGACUGCAUCGCUAGAAUUGUGGAGAGGUAAGUGGAAUUCCGAGUGUAGAGGUGAAAUUCGUAGAUAUUCGGAAGAACACCAGUGGCGAAGGCGACUUACUGGACACAUAUUGACGCUGAGGUGCGAAAGCGUGGGGAGCAAACAGG